AUGAAUGCUGGCGGCGUGCCUAAUACAUGCAAGUCGAGCGAACAGACGAGGAGCUUGCUCCUCUGACGUUAGCGGCGGACGGGUGAGUAACACGUGGAUAACCUACCUAUAAGACUGGGAUAACUUCGGGAAACCGGAGCUAAUACCGGAUAAUAUAUUGAACCGCAUGGUUCAAUAGUGAAAGACGGUUUUGCUGUCACUUAUAGAUGGAUCCGCGCCGCAUUAGCUAGUUGGUAAGGUAACGGCUUACCAAGGCGACGAUGCGUAGCCGACCUGAGAGGGUGAUCGGCCACACUGGAACUGAGACACGGUCCAGACUCCUACGGGAGGCAGCAGUAGGGAAUCUUCCGCAAAGGGCGAAAGCCUGACGGAGCAACGCCGCGUGAGUGAUGAAGGUCUUCGGAUCGUAAAACUCUGUUAUUAGGGAAGAACAAACGUGUAAGUAACUAUGCACGUCUUGACGGUACCUAAUCAGAAAGCCACGGCUAACUACGUG
rnacentral:rRNA from 1 species